CAUGGAUAACCUAGCAUAUGUUAGGUGCUAGACACAACAAAUCCAUUAGGUUAUAUUUAAUUCCUCCUUAUGUUCACAUAAUUGUUCUCGUGAGUUUAGCAACUAACAUAUUAUAAUACUCACUCUAGUAGUAGAAGUGAUAGUGUUUCAUUCACUACCCAAUUUCUAGGUCUACAAUCCUUGAUUGCAAUAUACUGAACCUUUACAAUCAAUGAAUUGGAUAAACCUGGCCAUGUUCAAAAGAAAAAAAACAAAACUGUCCAAGGGCAAGUACCACCUCCAACAAAGAAGUAUAUUACACCCCAAAUUUGCCUUCAUGUAGCGGGGCCUGUACCCAUUUUGGCAAUGAGCAGGAGGCAAUGGGUGGAGCAUUUGAUCAUACCAAUUUUGGUUCAGAAAUGCCAUAAAUUUUGGUUUGAGUAUGUUGAAGAGACUUGGUGGAGAUGCUCUUAUUACUUCUUCUUUUUUAAUGUUUUAUUACCAUGUCAAAGGCACAUUACUGACCUUUUGCCAGCCACAUGUGUAUCUGCAAACAUCCAUAUUCUUUUUGUCAGGAAUUGUUGCAUGUGUGUUAAAAACAUGUCCAGGGAAACUUGGAAUUGGGGAUACAUCUCUGGCUGGCAAUCACAGUGAAGAAAUUCUGAGCCAUCAGUUCGGCCAACUUGUAUUGUGUCAAAAACACACAAACACACAAACAAACAAACAAACAUACAUCAACAACAACAACAGAGGCUAUUGUAGACAAUUUGCAAACUGGGCUGGUCAAACAAUGAGAAGGCCAUGUGGCCACCAUGUGGGCAAUUGCAGCUCUCUCACAUGUACCCCCAGUUUCAGAGUGUUUGAUGUACAGAUGGUGGUGGCAAGGAGACCAUAAGCCACCACACAUAUAUUAGAAAAAUGAACAAGUAAAGUAUAAUAGUAUAUGAAUAAAUAAAUAAACAAAGAUUGGUGGUGCAAUGGAAAGUCAUUAAAUUAUUUCCCUUCUCUUUGCUUUGGCAGGGAAAGGGUGUGAGAGUGGUCAACCUGGAUGUGGGGUAUGAAUGGAUUAAUGGAUGAGUGAGAGUUGGUUAUUUCACUCAUCUUCCUCUUGAGUGCACUCCUCAUCUUCCUUCCUUUAUUCUUAAUUGUGGUGUUUGUAUUCACAUGAAUAUAUAUAUAUAUAUAUAUAUAUAUAUAUUUGUAUUUGUUCAUACAUACAAGAAUAUAUAUAUUAUUGGGUGGUUGGGACCUGAUUUUUUUAUGGUGAGCAAAUCAUGUGGAAAUUCCUUUGUAAGUAUGUUUCAACCCAUAAUUAUAUCGGCACAAUUUGAGAUAUAUACUACUUUUAACUCAAUGUGCUGAUGAAAUCAAUCAUUUGUCUAUGUCUGCAAUUGAAAAGCUGUGACCUCAACUGUAAGAGUUGUUGAUGACAUUGUUUUUUCUUUUAUAUCUGGCUGUCUCUACCAGGAUGAGUUGGAGAAAUCAUUUUCAUAAGGAAUCACCUUAUGCUUUUGUUGGUUGAUUUUUUUCUAUUGUUUCAACAUGAUUUUGACUUUUGUUCACCAUCCUGUGUACAACAAGCAACAUGAGCCAAAUACUUCUAAAAGAAACAACAAACAAACAAAGAAUGGAAUGUAAACCUUAUGGGUACCAUGUGUACAUUCCUUUGUGAUUCCUUUAAUUUGCCCAUCCCUUAUAGUCUUCAAUUGGUAAGACAAUUCAAUUGUUUAUUAUGAACCAUCACCUUUCCUUUCUUUUCUUUCUUUCUUUCUUUUUACAGUGGAUUUGAGAGAGGUGGUAGAUGAAUAAAUAUUAAAAUAAAAUUUCAAAUAAAUUUCUGAUGACAAGAACAGUAGAAUAAGCAACACCAAAAUUAACUUUAACACACCAAUCACAACCUUCAUUUUGUUUAUUUCUUUCUUUUCUUUUCUUUUCUAUUACAACUUCACUAAAAAGAUAGUAGGUUUUUCUUUGAACACAUAGUAAAUAACAUAAGAAACCAUGUGGAUGUUUUACCAAUGUGCAUGAUCAAUCAUGUUUUUGAAAACUAGUAAUGUGCAAAGAUUCCUUAGGGCUUGUAGGAGACAAGGUGUUUUGUGAAGUAUGUUGGGCAUUUGUAUGUGAAAAUGGAUGGUGAGAAGGGUGAGGUAGCACCUUUGUCUCACACUCAAGGUUCCUUGUUGCCUACAUCAUCAUGGCUCAAAGUUGGAUAUUCUCUCAAUUAUUGCAAUUUUUACCACGUUGAGUGGGUUUAAGGCUUUUUAUGGACAUUUUUGGGUUAUUUCCAUGCACGAAUUACAUGGUUUGAAGUUGCACACAAAAUCAUUUGCAAACAAACUUGCCACAAUUGUAAACUACUUGGACAUGGAAAAAUACUUUUUGUGAUGAAAGGAUUGUACUUGAAAACAUAAGCCUAAAGCUCACAAAUGCAGUUAAGAAAUCUUAGAGACUACAUGAUUGUUUGCUAAAUAUAAUAAAGAAUUGCACAUGAUGUUGAAGAUGAAAAUUGUGCAUCAUUCUGAAGACUAAAAGAUUUAGGGCUGUUGACUGGAUUUUGAAGGAGACAUUCCUAAAGUAAAAAAAGUAUACUACAAUAGUUAAUACUAAUCUAAACAUUUCAUCAUGAAUAUGAUGUUUUGGGGUUCAUUGAAAAGAUAUUAACAGUGGCAUAAAUGUCUUUGAUUUGGUUAAGAAUUAUCGAUUGUCAGUUUUUAUCAAUAUCAAUUGAUUGUCAUCUAUUUGCGUUUUCAUUGAGUUUUGAAUAUUCAAUUACAUCUUUUCAAUGAACAAGAGUCUGGGAUGAUGGAUACUACAACACCAAACACAGAUACUUUAGAAGUUAUAAAAGAAAAACUGGGAAAACUUCACAUUUUUGUUAACAUCUUUUCAGUGCAAGAGAAGAGUACCCCAUUAAUAAUUUUGAGAAACCCCAUUUGCUUCCAUAUUUCAAGUUUACAAAACUUUUCCUCUUUCAUGAGUAUCAUGUAACACAUUACACUUGACAACCUUAUUGUUGAAUGACCUGUUAAUGCUUGUGCAACAGUUGUUUCAAUGCAGACAGCUUAUGAAAAUUUACUUUCUUGCACAAGCAUUUUUAUCAUUUUUACUUUCAUUUUCACAUCCAGUUAAGAAAUAGGCUCUUUAGAGCAUCUACAAUACACAUGACAGAGCACCCAUCUUAAAAAAAAAGUGGUUUUGGACUUCAUGAAUCUUCUUCAAUUUAGGCCUCCUUUUAGAAAAGAAGAGCAAGUGGUGCCUAAUUGAGUGCCUCAAUGCCUGUAAAUGAAGCAACCUCAGAAUGUGGGUAAGCCUACAGCAUUCCAAUUUUAUGAUGAUUCUCACAUGAGGUCCUUGCUUAAUCACCUCCUUAAAGCAUAUUUUCAUGUAGUCUGUCUCUUUUCAUUUCUGUCUAGCCUGUUGUCACAUGCCCAAGUGAACAUAAACAUGCAUUGUAUUUUAUUUUUUCUGAAAGAAAAUGAUGCACAAAUUUGAGAGCGUGGGGAUGAGAUCUCACUCCCAUUCUCAUCAGAAAAUGCCAAAAAGUAGGAUCCAACACCUCCUGAAUGUUUCAAAAGGCAAUUUGUCUUGGAUGGUGAAAAACCUUUUGUCUCUUGUAGAGCAGUCUGCCUUACGAAGGGAUCAUCGCUAAGAGGUAGUUUCUUUUAAUGUUUGGAAUCAGUAAUAAGAAAAAAAUAAUACGAAGAAAGUAAACAGUGGAGGGAAAAAAACGGAGAAUAGGACACAGCUCGGGUUUCCAGUUGAUUUUUUUGCAAGGUUUGAAUUGCCCAACUCACACUGUUCCUUUUUCAAUGGUUCUUUUUAAUCAAAUAAUGCCUGGCCAGUCUGUUUUUG
rnacentral:lncRNA from 1 species